rnacentral:misc_RNA from 1 species
CAACCCUCAAGCCCGGCUUGUGUGAUGGGUGCCGUCCCCUACGGGACGCGCCCCGAAGGCAAUGGCGGCGUCGCGGUUAUCCGAUCAGCCAAAGUGUAUGGGGCUUUGUCACUCACUUUACGGCCCGGACCGGCGCCAGUCCGAAUCAAUCUUUUUUCUAA